GACGAACGCUGGCGGCGUGCCUAAUACAUGCAAGUUGAGCGCUGAAGGUUGGUACUUGUACCAACUGGAUGAGCAGCGCACGGGUGAGUAACGCGUGGGGAAUCUGCCUUUGAGCGGGGGACAACAUUUGGAAACGAAUGCUAAUACCGCAUAAAAACUUUAAACACAAGUUUUAAGUUUGAAAGAUGCAAUUGCAUCACUCAAAGAUGAUCCCGCGUUGUAUUAGCUAGUUGGUGAGGUAAAGGCUCACCAAGGCGUUGAUACAUAGCCGACCUGAGAGGGGGAUCGGCCACCUUGGGACUGAGACACGGCCCAAACUACUACGGGAGGCAGCAGUAGGGAAUCUUCGGCAAUGGACGAAAGUCUGACCGAGCAACGCCGCGGGAGUGAAGAAGGGUGUCGGAUCGUAAAACUCGGUUGGUAGAGAAGAAAGUUGGUGAGAGUGGAAAGCUCAUCAAGUGACGGUAACUACACAGAAAGGGACGGCUAACUACGUG
rnacentral:rRNA from 1 species